rnacentral:rRNA from 1 species
UACAGAGGUCUCAAGCGUUGUUCGGAUUCAUUGGGCGUAAAGGGUGCGUAGGCGGCGCGGUAAGUCGGGUGUGAAAUCUUGGAGCUUAACUCCGAAACUGCAUUCGAUACUGCCGGUGCUUGAGGACUGGAGAGGAGACUGGAAUUUACGGUGUAGCAGUGAAAUGCGUAGAUAUCGUAAGGAAGACCAGUGGCGAAGGCGAGUCUCUGGACAGUUAC